AUUCCGGUUGAUCCUGCCGGAGGCCAUUGCUAUUGGGAUCCGAUUUAGCCAUGCUAGUCGUACGAGUUCAUACUCGUGGCGAAUAGCUCAGUAACACGUGGCCAAACUACCCUUCGGAGCACAAUACCCUCGGGAAACUGAGGCUAAUAGUACAUACCAUACCACCACUGGAAUGAGUGGUAUGCCAAACGCUCCGGCGCCGAAGGAUGUGGCUGCGGCCGAUUAGGUAGACGGUGGGGUAACGGCCCACCGUGCCAAUAAUCGGUAUGGGUCAUGAGAGUGAGAACCCAGAGACGGAAUCUGAGACAAGAUUCCGGGCCCUACGGGGCGCAGCAGGCGCGAAACCUUUACACUGCACGACAGUGCGAUAGGGGGAUCCCAAGUGCACAGGCAUAGCGCCUGUGCUUUUCGGUACCCUAAGGCGGUACCAGAAUAAGGGCUGGGCAAGACCGGUGCCAGCCGCCGCGGUAAUACCGGCAGCCCAAGUGAUGGCCGAUCUUAUUGGGCCUAAAGCGUCCGUAGCUGGCCACGCAAGUCCAUCGGGAAAUCCACCUGCCCAACAGGUGGGCGCCCGGUAGAAACUGCGUGGCUUGGGACCGGAAGGCGCGACGGGUACGUCCGGGGUAGGAGUGAAAUCCCGUAAUCCUGGACGGACCGCCGAUGGCGAAAGCACGUCGCGAGAACGGAUCCGACAGUGAGGGACGAAAGCCAGGGUCUCGAACCGGAUUAGAUACCCGGGUAGUCCUGGCCGUAAACAAUGUCUGCUAGGUGUGGCUCCCACUACGAGUGGGUGCUGUGCCGUAGGGAAGCCGCUAAGCAGACCGCCUGGGAAGUACGUCCGCAAGGAUGAAACUUAAAGGAAUUGGCGGGGGAGCACUACAACCGGAGGAGCCUGCGGUUUAAUUGGACUCAACGCCGGACAUCUCACCAGCAUCGACUGUGAUAAUGACGACCAGGUUGAUGACCUUGUCCGAGUCUCAGAGAGGAGGUGCAUGGCCGCCGUCAGCUCGUACCGUGAGGCGUCCUGUUAAGUCAGGCAACGAGCGAGACCCGCACUCUUACUUGCCAGCAGUAUCGCGAGAUAGCUGGGAACAGUAGGAGGACCGCCGUGGCUAACACGGAGGAAGGAACGGGCAACGGUAGGUCAGUAUGCCCCGAAUGUGCUGGGCAACACGCGGGCUACAAUGGUCGAGACAAAGGGUUCCAACUCCGAAAGGAGACGGUAAUCUCAGAAACUCGAUCGUAGUUCGGAUUGUGGGCUGCAACUCGCCCACAUGAAGCUGGAUUCGGUAGUAAUCGCGUGUCACAAGCGCGCGGUGAAUACGUCCCUGCUCCUUGCACACACCGCCCGUCAAAGCACCCGAGUGAGGUCCGGAUGAGGCGCGCCACGCGCGUCGAAUCUGGGCUUCGCAAGGGGGCUUAAGUCGUAACAAGGUAGCCGUAGGGGAAUCUGCGGCUGGAUCACCUCCU
rnacentral:rRNA from 1 species